rnacentral:lncRNA from 1 species
CGCAACGCCGAGAUCUACGGGGUGGCGGACAACAUCGACUUCAUCGCCGGCGACUUCCUCCGACUCGCUCCGUCCCUAAAGGUACGCCCUCAAUGGGCUCUGGCCCAGACCGGGCUAGAGAGCAGCUGAAUUGACCGGCCAAAGGUCAACUGGGUCGGGAGAAAAAAAAAAAAAAUGAUGGGUCAAUGCCAUGAUGGGCCGGAUUCUUGGCGGCACUUUUGAUUGGUCUAAAGCUAUGCAUGCUCUGGCUCCAGGGUGACGUGGUGUUUCUCUCGCCGCCAUGGGGCGGCCCGGCCUACAAUGCCAUUGGGAACUUCACCCUUGACUUGCUCAAACCUGAAGACGGGUGAGUACAGCUAUCAAUCCGAGUUCUUUCCAAAAUAUUGGAAGGGAAAUAUGAAUAUCGGGUGCAUCUCCUCGCAUUUGAGUUAAAAUAAACAGUGGUUAUGAAUAUUAUAUAUAUAUAUUGGCAGAUAUUCAAUAUUCCAGAUUUCGCAGAGGAUAGCGCCAAGCAUCAUCAUGUUCUUACCUCGCACUGUGGAUCUGGGCCAGGUGGAGGAGCUCUCCUGGUUGUCUUCACCUCCUCUGGACUUCCAGGUGACCGUCAGUAUCUAUCUAUCUCUGUCUACAUGAGUUGUUCCCACGGUUGAGGCUCUUACUGUCUGGGCUUUCAUUCACCGC